rnacentral:rRNA from 1 species
AGAGUUUGAUUCUGGCUCAGGACGAACGCUGGCGGCGUGCUUAACACAUGCAAGUCGAGCGGGGAUGUAGGAAGUGCUUGCGCGGAAUACAUUCUAGCGGCGGACGGGUGAGUAACGCGUGAGCAAUCUGUCCCAGACAGGGGGAUAACAGAUGGAAACAUCUGCUAAUACCGCAUAAGACCACAACGUCACAUGGCGAAGGGGUAAAAGGAGGAAUCCGGUUUGGGGUGAGCUCGCGUCCGAUUAGCUAGUUGGCGAGGUAAGGGCCCACCAAGGCGACGAUCGGUAGCCGACCUGAGAGGGUGAUCGGCCACACUGGAACUGAGAGACGGUCCAG